AGGCAGAGGCGGGAGGAGAUCGAGGCGAGGUUGGAGGAGGAGCGGACGCUAAGGCAGGAUCAAGAGCGCAGGUGGCAGGAAGAGCGGAUUCAGGAAAGGCAGAGGAUGGAGCAGGCGCUUCUUGCUAAGCGACAGGCCGCGCAACAACAGAUGCAGACCAUGUUCGUCUACAUCCAAGGUCUUGGCGCGUCAGUCAACUAUCAACCGCCGCCAACGGUGACUUGGCCUCCACCACCUCUUCCACAGAUAGGCUUCGCACCUGGCGCUAUAGUCACUCCUAAUCAAUCGGUGGGGGCGUCAAAUGACCCUCCGGACCAACAUUCGCCGGCACCGGCGCCGCACUGGCCACCUAGCUCAUAGAGAUGUUUAUGGUAUCUGUUCUGCUUGUUGGACUAGCCUAGUUUUAUUUGUUGGACUUGUGCUUGUUAGACGGCAUACUUAUGGCAUCGAUGUUGGACUUGUGGUAUUUGUGCGAUAUUUGUGCUAUAUUCAUGAUAUUUGUGCUAUAUUUGUGAUAUUGUGCUAUAUUUGUGAUAUUUAUGCGAUAUUUGUGCUA